ACGUCACAGAAGGCAUUCCAGAAGGAGUAGGGGGUGUUCUCUGUUCUCAGUCCUCGGUUCUAGAACUCUGCUCAUUCUCGGGUCUGUUCCCUUUCUGCAUGGAUCUAUAAAGAAUCUGGAUCAGAGAAAUCAAUAUGGCUGCCGUUCUGUCCCACUUGCCCUGGCUGUCAGAGGCGUCUUCAGUCAACGUCCAUGACUGACAUGAGUUGGGGAGGGGAAUUAGAACUUGAGCCUGUUUGUUGACUGACAGAGAGCAUCUUGGGAAGUGUAGUUCCCUGGAGGGCUGGAUCAAUAGGUGGAGAAAGACCGUGAGUCUGUGGGGAAAAGGCAGAGACUGAGGAAGAGGGAGACAGAGAGGUGCAGAGGGUUUCCAUAAUAGAUAGAGAGGUAUAGAGAGCAAAGAGAUAUACAGGUAUAGAGAGCAAAGAGAUAGACAGGUAUAGAGAGCAAAAACAUAGACAGGUAUAGAGAGCAAAGACAUAGACAGGUAUAGAGAGUGAAUAGAAGAUGAAAGCUGAAGGGAAAUAGAAAUAAUGAUAGACAGGCAGAGAGAUGGACAGAGAGGGAGAGACAGACAGACGGACAGAGAGAGAGAGAGAGAGAGAGAGAGACCGACAGA
ensembl:lncRNA